rnacentral:rRNA from 1 species
CAGUAGCCACGGUAACACGUAGGGUGCGAGCGUUAAUCGGAUUUACUGGGCGUAAAGCGUGCGCAGGCGGCCCGUUAAGGCAGGUGUGAAAUCCCUGGGCUCAACCUAGGAAUUGCGCUUGUGACUGGCGGGCUCGAGUACGGUAGAGGGGGGUGGAAUUCCUGGUGUAGCAGUGAAAUGCGUAGAGAUCAGGAGGAACACCGAUGGCGAAGGCAGCCCCCUGGGCCUGUACUGACGCUCAUGCACGAAAGCGUGGGGAGCAAACAGGAUUAGAUACCCGCGUAGUCCCUGUCUCUUAUCC